rnacentral:lncRNA from 1 species
UCUUAGAAUAGGGGUGGCGAGAGAGCAGAGCGUACCACCCUGCCAUAGUCGCGAGUCUGUUUAUAAUCGCGAGUCUGUUUAUAGUUGCGACUAUUGUCAUAUUGAUAAAGGCUUUCAACUUUCAGGAAAAAACUUCGAAUUGGGAGGGUGAUCCUCCCGGUGAUCUGACCGUGCCCCAAACCGACACAGGUGAACAAGUUGAGUAUACUA